AGCAGCCGCGGUAAUUCCAGCUCCAAUAGCGUAUAUUAAAGUUGUUGCAGUUAAAAAGCUCGUAGUUGAAUUUCGGGAUCAAUAUAUUGGUCAUGCUUAGGCAUGUACUGGUAUUAUUGAUUUCUCCCUUCUGAAGAACCAUAAUGUCAUUAAUUUGAUGUCAUGGGGAAUCAGGACUGUUACUUUGAAAAAUUAGAGUGUUUAAAGCAGGCUUUCGCUUGAAUACAUUAGCAUGGAAUAAUGAAAUAGGACGUUUGAUUCUAUUUUGUUGGUUUCUAGGAUCGACGUAAUGAUUAAUAGGGAUAGUUGGGGGCAUUAGUAUUCAAUUGUCAGAGGUGAAAUUCUUGGAUUUAUUGAAGACUAACUACUGCGAAAGCAUUUGCCAAGGAUGUUUUCAUUAAUCAAGAACGAAAGUUAGGGGAUCGAAGACGAUCAGAUACCGUCGUAGUC
rnacentral:rRNA from 1 species